GGGGCUGUAGCUCAGCUGGUUUAGAGCGCCUGCCUGUCACGCAGGAGGUCGAGGGUUCGAGCCCCUUCAGUCCCGCCA
rnacentral:tRNA from 1 species